rnacentral:rRNA from 1 species
GUGGGGAAUAUUGGACAAUGGGCGAAAGCCUGAUCCAGCCAUGCCGCGUGUGUGAAGAAGGUCUUCGGAUUGUAAAGCACUUUAAGUUGGGAGGAAGGGCAGUAAGUUAAUACCUUGCUGUUUUGACGUUACCAACAGAAUAAGCACCGGCUAACUUCGUGCCAGCAGCCGCGGUAAUACGAAGGGUGCAAGCGUUAAUCGGAAUUACUGGGCGUAAAGCGCGCGUAGGUGGUUCAGCAAGUUGGAUGUGACAGCCCCGGGCUCAACCUGGGAAUUGCAUCCAAAACUACUGAGCUAGAGUACGGUAGAGGGUGGUGGAAUUUCAUGUGUAGCGGUGAAAUGCGUAGAUAUAGGAAGGAACACCAGUGGCGAAGGCGACCACCUGGACUGAUACUGACACUGAGGUGCGAAAGCGUGGGGAGCAAACAGGAUUAGAUACCCGAGUAGUCC